CGAACGCUGGCGGCGUGCUUAACACAUACAAAUCGAACGGAAAGGCCCUGCUUUUGUGGGGUGCUCGAGUGGCGAACGGGUGAGUAACACGUGAGUAACCUGCCCUUGACUUUGGGAUAACUUCAGGAAACUGGGGCUAAUACCGGAUAGGAGCUCCUGCUGCAUGGUGGGGGUUGGAAAGUUUCGGCGGUUGGGGAUGGACUCGCGGCUUAUCAGCUUGUUGGUGGGGUAGUGGCUUACCAAGGCUUUGACGGGUAGCCGGCCUGAGAGGGUGACCGGCCACAUUGGGACUGAGAUACGGCCCAGACUCCUACGGGAGGCAGCAGUGGGGAAUAUUGCACAAUGGGCGGAAGCCUGAUGCAGCAACGCCGCGUGCGGGAUGACGGCCUUCGGGUUGUAAACCGCUUUCGCCUGUGACGAAGCGUGAGUGACGGUAAUGGGUAAAGAAGCACCGGCUAACUACGUG
rnacentral:rRNA from 1 species